rnacentral:misc_RNA from 1 species
UCCGAGUUAUCCCCGGCAGUCUCCCAUGAGUCCCCGGCCGAACCGCUGGCAACAUAGGAUAAGGGUUGCGCUCGUUGCGGGACUUAACCCAACAUCUCACGACACGAGCUGACGACAGCCAUGCACCACCUGUCACGGGCCCUUACGGGCACUGUAUUUCUACAGUUUUUCCCGUGAUGUCAAACCCAGGUAAGGUUCUUCGCGUUGCGUCGAAUUAAACCACAUGCUCCGCUGCUCGUGCGGGCCCCCGUCAAUUCCUUUGAGUUUCAGUCUUGCGACCGUACUCCCCAGGCGGCGAACUUAACGCGUUAGCUUCGAUACUGCGUGCCAAAUUGCACCCAACAUCCAGUUCGCAUCGUUUAGGGCGUGGACUAC